AGAAAAUGCGUGCUACUCUCUCUUUUUAAAACGCCACAGCAGACAUACUGGCCAUUGCUGGGAACCCAUCGAUGAAAGACAGUGACUAACACCACCUGAUUAUUGCAAUCCACCAUGUGUCUGAAAGCCACAUUUCACUGACAUCAUCAGACUGGAGCUAGACUGUGUGACUUGGGCAGGUGAAUUUUGACAAGCUUUUCAAUGAGGUGUGGAUGAACUGUACUAGUUUGUUAAGAACACAUUAUAAACCUAUGAUGGAAUCUCUCAGAAGUUCAAGUGUGGUGACUGCUUCCAUAUAAAACAACUGGAUUCUUUUAAAGAAAUGAUUCUCACUAUAGCCUCUUACUCAUUUACUUAACAGACCUAGUUAUAUGCCAGUCUUUUAAAUUAUUGGCUUUAGAGAACACACAGUGGUCAUUGCGCAUAGUUUUUUUUGUGAGAUAAAAGAGAUGACUGAAAAAAAGGUAGCAUUUACGGGCCUUUAAUAACAUUAAACAGGAAGCAAACUUGACAUAGAUAGACAGCUUAGUGGAUGAACACCUUUAGAGAAGGCAGGAAGGACCUAUGUCAGAUCUCUAGCACCUAUAUGAACAACUGGGUAUGGAGGAAUGCUCCUGCUGGCCCCAUAUUGGAGGGUAGAGACAGUUAGAACCUAAGGAUUUGCCAGCCAGCCAGCUUAGUUUAAUUGAUAAGUUCAGGUUCAGUGAGAGACCCUGUUUCAAAAAAUAAAAUGGAGUAGUGAUUGAGGGAGACAAUGUCAGAUGCUUCUGGCUUCCACACAUACAUGCCUGGGCAAGUGCACUGGUUUAUACAUGUGCACAUAUCAUUACAUUUAUAGAAACAGAUACCCCUCCCCUAUAUACAAAGAGGUUAAGUGCAUUUUCUUUAUUUGUAAGCAAAUAAUGAAGGUAAUUCUGAGACAUCACAUUCAGAACUGGUAUGUCUUUUAAUGAACAUACUUCAUUACUGACUUGCAACUGUAUAUAUUAAGUAUAAAUCAUGCUAUUUUUGCUGGAACUACCAGAUAAGUCCAGUUUAUCAGUUUUCCAGUGAUACUGAACUUGGAAUAUAAAGAUACCAUGGUUCCUAUGAGAGUAAAAAGACUGUUUUAAAUAAUUUAUGAUCACAGUUGGGGGGGAACUUAAGUAUUUAUUAUCUUCUUAUGAUGUGUUGUGAGAAUUUUCAUGACUUUUGUCUCCUUCACCUUUGAAAGUGAUUCUGUGAACUAAAUUUGAAUCUAGUUUUUUGCUAAUGAGGAGAUGGGUGGCAUUCAGAGGAUCCAGGGACCAGUCAUCAUCUAUUAUGUGCUAUAUAUUGUUAGGAACUUAGCAUAUAUUUUAAAAAUUUUGUUCUCAAAAGAGAUACCAUGCUUUUACAUCUGUGAGUCAGAAUAUUCUAGGUUAUAUUGUUAUAACAAGUAGACCCAGAAGCACCAUGGCCUAGGAAUAAGAACUUUUACUAUUGCUCAUAUCAAGAUCACUAUGGUGUCCAUGACCUUCCACAGUGGAGGCUAAUGGAAGUGUCAUAGCUCUAUAGUGGCAGCCAUGCUUCUCAGAAUGUGGGUCCAUAUAUUGGACAAGAAAAUGUAAGCACAGAAUAGCAUAUGAUCUUGCAAGGCUUCAGGUGAGAAGCCUUACACAGUUAUCUUCAUAGCCUAUUGGCUGGAGCUCUGCCUAUAAGGAACUACCUCUCCAUCAUCAGGAUGGGAAACAUUAGAGUCACAUGUAUAGAAGUAACCAUCACUGGGCCUAGGCUUUAAAGAUGGAAAAAUUCAGGAUAAAUUCAGACAUUUUGUUUGUAUUACUCCAUUUUAUGCUUAUUAACUGAUAAAUUUGGUUAUUAUAGUUUGCUCUAAGCCUGAAGAGUCUUUAGGCUCUCCAGCUUACUAUCACAUGAGGUAUAUCUGUGGUUUCUAUGAUUUGACAUCCUGUGUAUUAAAUCACAUAUUGUAGAAAUAGUGGUGUAACUUUUGAGCCAAUCAUGACAGACAGUGGCUUCACUUUGUCCUCUAUUGUAUCACUCACACUGGAGAAAUGCAGCUGCCAUCAUAAGAGGAUGCUAAGAGCAGUCCCGUGGAGCUCUUCCAUGGCAAGAAGUGGAGGCCUCCUGUUAGCAUGAAGAUUCAGCAUGCCAUCUGUGAGAGUGAGUCAUCUUGAAAGGCGAGCCAUCAACAUCAGCCUUCAGAUGACUGAGCUCAGAUUGAUCUGAUGGACUUGGACAGCCAAAUCCCAAGAGCCAAGAUAUAACCACUCACUUAAGUUGCUCUUGAAUGUUUUCUGGCCACAGAAUGGCAUGAGAUGACGAACACUUACUCUUGUUUUAGUUGACUUUAUAGAAUCAUUUAUGCUGUGUAAUUAUGCUUUAAGUUCUCAGUGACCCCCUAAAGGCUCAUGUAGUGUAGUUUGACUGUGAAGCCCUUUACAAGCCCCUGUAUUUGAAUACCUGCUUUGUAGAUUGUUCUGCUGUUUUAAAGGUUGUAGAAUCUUUGGGACAUGUGAUUUAAAUGGAAUUAGGUCACAGUGGGAUCUGAUGUCUCUUCUUCCUGGUCAGUCACCGCAUGAAUAAGCCUUUACCACAUGCUCCUGCCACUAUGACCUGUGCUAUGUUUUCCCUGUAAUGAUGGGACUUCUUGUAAUUCUUCUGGACCUGGAAAUCAAAAUAAAUCUGUUCUGUGCUACUUGGGAGAGUGAAAACUGUGUAAGAGCCAUGAACUUGAAAUAUAAUAUGAGAUCUUGGCCACUUCUUUUCCUCUUUUGCUUCUUGGCGAUGAGGCCAUGGUUUGCUUUCCUUUGCCCUCCUUGCCUCAGUGUGCUGACUCAUCUGAGGUCCCAAACCAGCAAGGCUAAUGGAUGAAGCACCUUCAAAUUUGAGGCAAACAAACAUUUGUAAGUUGAUUUACUCAGAUGAAAUAAGACUAACAAAUUUGUUAGUGAAUAAUAACACCAACCCUAUUUGAAUUGCUUAGUGUGUAUUUUUUUCAGACUCUUUUGCUUUAUGAUAGUACAUUUUCAAAUGAGCAGAAUUAUAAAGUAGUACAUUUAACAGUGACUCCACAUAAUUCAAAUGACUUUUGACUCGUAAUGGGGGUUAUAAAUUGAAUAUAUCCCAACUUGAAAAUGUUCUAAAACACUUAAGCUGCAAAACUUAGCUCAGUUUUCCUAAAGCAUGUUCAGAACACUCACAUUAGCUUAUAAUUGGACAAGAUAAUCUAAUAACAAGUCUGUUUUCUAACAAAGUGUUGCAUAUGCUGAUUUAUUCAACAAUAUACCAAUUUCCAUUCCAUCCUAAAGUAAUCAGAUCCUAGAUGGAACUGCCUCC
rnacentral:lncRNA from 1 species